UUCCGGUUGAUCCUGCCGGAGGUCACUGCUAUCGGGAUCUGGUUAAGCCAUGCAAGUCUAUUGGCGCAAGCCAAGGCGAAAUGCUCAGUAACACGUGGAUAACCUGCCCUCAGGUGAGGGGUAACCUCAGGAAACCGAGGAUAAUACCUCAUAGGUUUAGAGUACUGGAAUGUCUCUAAACUCAAAGCUCAGGCGCCCGAGGAUGGAUCUGCGGCCUAUCAGGUAGUAGUCAGGGUAAUUACCUGACUAGCCGAUGACGGGUAUGGGCUGUGGGAGCAGAAGCCCAGAGAUGGAUUCUGAGACAAGAAUCCAGGCCCUAUGGGGCGCAGCAGGCGCGAAAACUCCGCAAUGUGCGCAAGCAUGACGGGGAGAUCCCGAGUCCCCAUACAUCGUAUGGGGUGUCCUCCUGUCUAAAUAGCAGGAGAAGAAAGGGCUGGGCAAGACAGGUGCCAGCCGCCGCGGUAACACCUGCAGCCCGAGUGGUGGCCACUAUUAUUGGGUCUAAAGCAUCCGUAGCCGGCUUAGUAAAUGCCUGGGGAAAUCGUAUCGCUUAACGAUGCGGAGGCCAAGCAGACUGCUAAGCUUGAGACCGGGAGGAGCUAGGGGUACUCUUGGGGUAGCGGUAAAAUGCUGUAAUCCUAAGAGGACCACCAGUGGCGAAGGCGCCUAGCUAGAACGGAUCUGACGGUGAGGGAUGAAACCCUGGGGCGCAAACCGGAUUAGACACCCGGGUAGUCCAGGGCGUAAACGCUGCCCGCUUGAUGUUAGGAAACCUACAGGAUUUCCUAGUGUCGGAGAGAAGUCGUUAAGCGGGCCACCUGGGAAGUACGGUCGCAAGGCUGAAACUUAAAGGAAUUGGCGGGGGAGCACCGCAACGGGUGGAGCGUGCGGUUCAAUUGGAUCCAACGCCGGAAAGCUUACCGAGGGCGACGGAUAAAUGAAGGCCAGGCUGAUGACCUUGCUAGAUUUCCCGAGAGGUGGUGCAUGGCCAUCGACAGCUCGUACCGCGAGGCGUUCUGUUAAGUCAGAUAACGAGCGAGACCCUCGCUCUUAGUUGCUAUCUUCGAGCCCGCUCGAAGGGCACUCUAAGAGGACCGCUGGUGCUAAACCAGAGGAAGGAGGGGGCAACGGUAGGUCAGUAUGCCCUGAAUCCCUCGGGCUACACGCGCGCUACAAAGGAUGGGACAAUGGGCUCCGACCCCGAGAGGGGGAGGCAAUCCCGAAACCCAUCCAUAGUUCGAAUUGAGGGCUGAAAUUCGCCCUCAUGAAGCUGGAAUCCGUAGUAAUCAUGGAUCAACAUUCCAUGGUGAAUAUGCCCCUGCUCCUUGCACACACCGCCCGU
rnacentral:rRNA from 1 species